AUUGAACGCUGGCGGCAGGCCUAACACAUGCAAGUCGAGCGGAUGAAGGGAGCUUGCUCCUGGAUUCAGCGGCGGACGGGUGAGUAAUUCCUAGGAAUCUGCCUGGUAGUUGGGGAUAACGUCCGGAAACGGGCGCUAAUACCGCAUACGUCCUGAUGGAGAAAGUGGGGGAUCUUCGGACCUCACGCUAUCAGAUGAGCCUAGGUCGGAUUAGCUAGUUGGUGGGGUAAAGGCCUACCAAGGCCACGAUCCGUAACUGGUCUGAGAGGAUGAUCAGUCACACUGGAACUGAGACACGGUCCAGACUCCUACGGGAGGCAGCAGUGGGGAAUAUUGGACAAUGGGCGAAAGCCUGAUCCAGCCAUGCCGCGUGUGUGAAGAAGGUCUUCGGAUUGUAAAGCACUUUAAGUUGGGAGGAAGGGAAGUAAGUUAAUACCUUGCUGUUUUGACGUUACCAACAGAAUAAGCACCGGCUAACUUCGUG
rnacentral:rRNA from 1 species